rnacentral:rRNA from 1 species
GUCUAUAGCCUCACCAACCUGAACACACCCAAUCUCGUCUGAUCUCGGAAUCUAAGCAGGGCUGGACCUGGUUAGUACUUGGAUGGGAGAAAAGACUUUUCCACAGUCA